GAUGAAGAACGCAGCGAAAUGCGAUAAGUAAUGUGAAUUGCAGAAUUCAGUGAAUCAUCGAAUCUUUGAACGCACAUUGCGCCCGCCAGUAUUCUGGCGGGCAUGCCUGUUCGAGCGUCAUUUCAACCAUCAAGCCCCCGGCUUGUGUUGGGGACCUGCGGCUGCCGCAGGCCCUGAAAAGCAGUGGCGGGCUCGCUGUCACACCGAGCGUAGUAGCGUACAUCUCGCUCUGGGCGUGCUGNGGGUUCCGGCCGUUAAACCACCUUCAUAACCCAAGGUUGACCUCGGAUCAGGUAGGAAGACCCGCUGAACUUAAGCAUAUCAAUAAGCGGAGGA
rnacentral:misc_RNA from 1 species